ACGGGGGUGAUGAUAUAGUCCACACUCUACGAAAGUAGGGAGAACGUGUAACCAAUUGGUCGUGGGUUCGAAUCCCACCCCCCGAG
rnacentral:tRNA from 1 species